ACAUUCAUGGCUGAAUGGUUAAAGUGCCCAACUUAUAAAUGGCGAAUUCUUAGGUUCAAUUCAUACUGGAUGCA
ncrna:Nicotiana tabacum cultivar TN90 Ntab-TN90_scaffold441, whole genome shotgun sequence